AUCGGCGUGCUUCGGAAGCGGCGCGGUCUCCAAAACCGUGACCCGGGGGUUCGACUCCUUCCGCCGGUG
rnacentral:tRNA from 1 species